UGGAAAACAAUCAGUGCAUCAGUCUCC
rnacentral:piRNA from 1 species